rnacentral:rRNA from 1 species
CUCCCGGCACGGGGAGGUAGUGACGAAAAAUAACGAUACGGGACUCAUCCGAGGCCCCGUGAUCGGAAUGAGCACACUUUAAAUCCUUUAACGAGGAUCAAUUGGAGGGCAAGUCUGGUGCCAGCAGCCGCGGUAAUUCCAGCUCCAAUAGCGUAUAUUAAAGUUGCUGCGGUUAAAAAGCUCGUAGUCGAAAUUGUGUCCUCGGCCGCCGGUUCGUCGCUCGCGACGCCAACUGGCGCGCACGCUGGACGUCCAGCCGGUACUACGAACUCGCCUACGGGGUGCUCUUAACCGAGUGUCCAGGCGGGGGCCGGCAACGUUACUUUGAACAAAUUAAAGUGCUUAAAGCAGGCUAAAUUGCGCUCGCAUACACGCGCAUGGAAUAAUCGAAUAGGACCUCCGUUCUAUUUUGUUGGGUUUUUGUGGAACGACAGACGGAGGUAAUGAUCAAUGGGUGCGGAUGGGGGCAUUCGUAUUGCGACGUUAGAGGUGAAAUUCUUGGACCGUCGCAAGACGGACUUAAGCGAAAGCAUUUGCCAAAAACGCUUUCAUCGAUCAAGAACGAAAGUUAGAGGUUCGAAGGCGAUCAGAUACCGCCCUAGUUCUAACCAUAAACUAUGCCAGCUAGCGAUCCGCCGACGUUACUUCUAUGACUCGGCGGGCAGCUUCCGGGAAACCAAAGCUUUCGGGUUCCGGGGGAAGUAUGGUUGCAAAGCUGAAAC